UGCUUGUCUUCGCCUGGCUUUUGCUUGGAUGGAGUCAAAGGAGAAGGUGAGCCCUCCACUCCCAUCUCUGCUCUCAAGUCACUAAUGCUCUGCUCCAAGUCAUUUAUGCGAGUUCCCAUCUCGUCAAUCUUUGUAACAAUGGAGUCGGACAUUGUUUGGAACCUGGAUUGCAUCUGCUGAAGAAGAUUUUGCACAAAAGCAGUCAUAUCAGCAGUGCUUU
rnacentral:misc_RNA from 1 species